rnacentral:rRNA from 1 species
CCUACGGGAGGCAGCAGUGAGGAAUAUUGGUCAAUGGCCGGAAGGCUGAACCAGCAAUGCCGCGUGAAGGUCAGAGCCCUACGGGCGGUAAACUUCUUUUGUGCGGGAGCAAUAAUGGUCACGUGUGGCCAGACGAGAGUACUGUACGCAUAAGCAUCGGCUAACUCCGUGCCAGCAGCCGCGGUAAUACGGGGGGGUGCAAGUGUUAUCCGGAUAUAGUGGGUUUAAAGGGUGAGUAGGCUGGGAGGUAAGCCAGCGGUGAAAUGCGCCCGCUCAACGGGGUGAAGUGCCAUGGAUACUGGCUUGCUGGAAUGCGGGUGCGGUGGGAGGAAUGUGUGGUGUAGCGGUGAAAUGCGUAGAUAUCACACAGAACACCGAUUGCGAAGGCGUCUCACGGAUCCGUGAUUGACGCUGAGGCACGAAAGCGUGGGUAUCAAACAGGAUUAGAUACCCCUGUAGUC